rnacentral:tRNA from 1 species
GGGGAUUUAGCUCAGUGGUAGAGCGCUUGCCUAGCAAGUGCAAGGCCCUGGGUUCGGUCCUCAGCUCCCCCC